ensembl:lncRNA
GGCUUCAAUAUGCAAACGUCUGGAGGACACAAUUCAGUCCACAACAGCUGGGGUGAGACAGUAGGAUGAGCCAGUGGCCGGGAUAUGGGGAUUUUAAGGACCGAGUAAGUCAUGCUAGAUUAAUUUUUCCAUUGACAUCAAGAGCAACGAAGAACACUAUUCCCAAUAGGGAACUCUCAAGCGUCUUCUCCAGCACCACAGUUCAACAGCAUCAAUUCUUCGGCACUCAGACUUCUUUAUAGUCCAACUUUUACAUCCAACCAUGACUGAAAAAUCAUAGCUUUAACUAGAUGGACCUUUGUCAGCAAAGUGAUGUCUCUGCUUUUUAAUACUGGGUCAGCUAACAUUACCGAGGUGGGGACACUGAAGUCCAGAGGGGGAAGGACCACAAACGUCUCAGAGCACCUCAAUGGCACAGCAGGUACUUUUCAUUUUUGAAGAUAAGCCACAGUCAUUCUACUCUCCACACCAUGUGACCUAGACUGAGGGCUUGGGGCUACAUUUAUAUCCCCAAAGUGAUGGGUAAACGUGUCAGAG